CAUAUCAAUAAGCGGAGGAAAAGAAACCAACAGGGAUUGCCCUAGUAACGGCGAGUGAAGCGGCAACAGCUCAAAUUUGAAAUCUGGCCCUUUUAGGGUCCGAGUUGUAAUUUGCAGAGGGCGCUUUGGCGUUGGCAGCGGUCCAAGUUCUUUGGAACAGGACGUCACAGAGGGUGAGAAUCCCGUACGUGGUCGCUAUCUUUCGCCGUGUAAAGCCCCUUCGACGAGUCGAGUUGUUUGGGAAUGCAGCUCUAAAUGGGAGGUAAAUUUCUUCUAAAGCUAAAUACUGGCCAGAGACCGAUAGCGCACAAGUAGAGUGAUCGAAAGAUGAAAAGCACUUUGGAAAGAGAGUCAAAUAGCACGUGAAAUUGUUGAAAGGGAAGCGCUUGCAGCCAGACUUGCCUGUAGUUGCUUAUCCGGGCUUCUGCCCGGUGCACUCUUCUAUAGGCAGGCCAGCAUCAGUUUGGGCGGCUAGAUAAAGGUCUCUGUCACGUACCCCUCUUCGGGGGGGCCUUAUAGGGGAGACGACAUGUAGCCAGCCCAGACUGAGGUCCGCGCAUCUGCUAGGAUGCUGGCGUAAUGGCUGUAAGCGGCCCGUCUUGAAACACGGACCAAGGAGUCUAACAUCUAUGCGAGUGUUUGGGUGUCAAGCCCAGACGCGUAAUGAAAGUGAACGGAGGUAGGAACCCUUUGGGUGCACUAUCGACCGAUCCUGAUGUCUUCGGAAGGAUUUGAGUAAGAGCAUGGCUGUUGGGACCCGAAAGAUGGUGAACUAUGCUUGAAUAGGGUCAAGCCAGAGGAAACUCUGGUGGAGGCUCGCAGCGGUUCUGACGUGCAAAUCGAUCGUCAAAUUUGGGCAUAGGGGCGAAAGACUAAUCGAAC
rnacentral:rRNA from 1 species